GACGAACGCUGGCGGCGUGCUUAACACAUGCAAGUCGUACGGUAAGGCCCUUUCGGGGGUACACGAGUGGCGAACGGGUGCGUAACACGUGAGUAACCUGCCCACAACUUUGGGAUAACGCUAGGAAACUGGUGCUAAUACUGGAUAUGUGCUCCUGCUGCAUGGUGGGGGUUGGAAAGCUCCGGCGGUUGUGGAUGGACUCGCGGCCUAUCAGCUUGUUGGUGGGGUAGUGGCCUACCAAGGCGGCGACGGGUAGCCGGCCUGAGAGGGUGACCGGCCACAUUGGGACUGAGAUACGGCCCAGACUCCUACGGGAGGCAGCAGUGGGGAAUAUUGCACAAGGGGCGCAAGCCUGAUGCAGCAACGCCGCGGGCGGGAUGACGGCCUUCGGGUUGUAAACCGCGUUCAGCAGGGACGAAGCUUUUUGUGACGGUACCUGCAGAAGAAGCACCGGCUAACUACGUG
rnacentral:rRNA from 1 species